UUCCGCCUUCCGCCUUCCGCCUUCCGCUGGGGGCAUUUAUCUCCCGCUGCAGCAAGGCUGUUGUCCUUCAGUCCUGACUGGGUCUCCAUGCAAAGUAGAAGCAAAAUCUGCCGUGAGGCAAUAGUGAGACCCUUGGGUAGACAGGUUCAGACCAGGAAAAAAAUCCCAAAUGAACAUCGUAACUAACAGGACCAGGGAAUAUUUUCCAAUAAGAGACUCUAUGGAGAAGGACAUUUGAAAAGAAGUCUCAGAUGGUUUUUCAACAAGGUGAAUGGGAUUGGUGCUACAAAAGCCUAUGUGCCUUGUGGACGCCUCAUCUCUAGGACUGGAGCCUUCCUCCCACCCCAUGAGGAGGGGAACGGAAUGAUUGUGCAGGCGGAAUGGAUGCUGCGGAGGGGCCCAGGAGCUGGAUGGCUCUCAGGUGUGGAGCCCAGGGGCCUCCAUUUGAGCCUAGGGAGUCUGGACAGGAUGAGUUCAAGAGCGAAGGGAGACACUCCCAAACCACUGUGGACUCUGGCCUGAAAGAUUGAUGUGACCAUAAAGUAAAGAAGUGCUUUGUACAAUCUCCUGGAC